GGGGUGGUAGUAGCCAGAGGGCUAAUGAUCUACUACUCCAUUGAUAUUAUUUAUAACCGUGAUGAUUACGUGGCUGUGAGUAACGUGUAUGCUUUUGCCUGCAACUAUGCGGAUUGACCACAUCUGGCCGGCCUCGACGACUCCCCGCCCUACAUUGUUGUUGGCUGGUCUGUGUCUAGCGUUAGCUACCUAGCUAGCACCUUUAGCAAAGGUGAUGCAAACUACCAGGUUCUUGCUCAUCUGUCGCCCCUGUCUACUCUCAGAGGUCCACCUUUCUGGAGGAGGACAGGUGCGACGACGGUGUGUGUGCCCUCCCCCUGGUGCCGCGUCCUGGUACUGCGGUGGACCCCCCACGGAGCAUGGCGUCGGUGCCGAGGCGCUGGGUGUACGUGUGUGAGUGUGUGAGCACCCGUUGAGUAGGUGGGUGAGCUGGAAGGGAGUGGGAGAGGUGAGAAGAGGGCAGAUGGACUGCAGAAGGGAGUUCAGGAAGGACAGAGAGGGUGUCAGGUAGAGGAAGAGAGAAGGAAAGGGAGGAAGCGUCUGAAAUGAGUGAUACCAACCUCAGAGAUCAGAAACAGACAAUGUCACUUUAUCUGGAUAAACUCCGUUUCUCAACCUGAUUUGUCCAAUACUACCACUUGCUUCAGACUGUUCAAUAGACAUCAACUUUAAUCAUAAUGUUCUACAUAUCACAGAACAAUUUUGAAUGCAUUCCAUCAAUACAAAAUAAUUCAGAUUGUU